UUGCUUCUUUGCUGACGAGUGGCGGACGGGUGAGUAAUGUCUGGGAAACUGCCUGAUGGAGGGGGAUAACUACUGGAAACGGUAGCUAAUACCGCAUAACGUCGCAAGACCAAAGAGGGGGACCUUCGGGCCUCUUGCCAUCGGAUGUGCCCAGAUGGGAUUAGCUAGUAGGUGGGGUAACGGCUCACCUAGGCGACGAUCCCUAGCUGGUCUGAGAGGAUGACCAGCCACACUGGAACUGAGACACGGUCCAGACUCCUACGGGAGGCAGCAGUGGGGAAUAUUGCACAAUGGGCGCAAGCCUGAUGCAGCCAUGCCGCGUGUAUGAAGAAGGCCUUCGGGUUGUAAAGUACUUUCAGCGGGGAGGAAGGGAGUAAAGUUAAUACCUUUGCUCAUUGACGUUA
rnacentral:rRNA from 1 species